rnacentral:rRNA from 1 species
AGUGAACGCUGGCGGUAGGCCUAACACAUGCAAGUCGAACGGCAGCACAGUAAGAGCUUGCUCUUACGGGUGGCGAGUGGCGGACGGGUGAGGCAUACAUCGGAAUCUACUUUUUCGUGGGGGAUAACGUAGGGAAACUUACGCUAAUACAGCAUACGACCUACGGGUGAAAGCAGGGGAUCUUCGUACCUUGCCCGAUCGCAUGAGCCGAUGUCGGAUUUGCUAGUUGGCGGGGGAAAGACCCACCCAGGCGACCUUCCUUACCUGGCCUGACUGGGUGAUCAGCCACACUGGAACUGGGACACGCUCCAGACUCCUACGGGGGGCAGCAGUGGGGAAUAUUGGACAAUGGGCGCAAGCCUGAUCCAGCCAUACCGCGGGGUGGAGGAAGGCCUUCGGGUUGUAAAGCCCUUUUGUUGAGAAAGAAGAGCAGCAGGUUAAUACCCCGCUGUUCUGACGGUACCCAAAGAAUAAGCACCGGCUAACUUCGUG